GGGAUGGGGUGGGGCUGGGGGGCAGGGCCAGGGUUAAAAGGUUUCAUUGUCCUCUUGACUAAAGUCCUGUUGCCUAAAGCUUAAAUUCUUUUUUGUCGCCCCGACCCUCCCAUAUGGGUCCCUGGUGACUUUCAUUUGCCCCCUGGUGGCCCUUUUGGGAAGGACGGGAGUGUGUCUUUUUCCCGCCAUUUCUGCAGUGUGAUCUCUUCCGUCUACUACCGGCUCCUUAACCGGGAAUGCUUCUUUGUUCACAGCCCCCCCCCCCCCUCACACCACCAGCCCUGCCCGCACACCUGAACCACAGGCAAAAAAACCCACCUGGUUCCCAGAGACACACGCAGCUGCACCGCCUCCAAAGACCACAGCUGCUCCUCAGCCAACCAAUCAGCUCUGGACUCAGCACAGCUCAGCCAAUGCAGAGGAAGGCUGACGUUAAUUUGAACUGUGCAGCUCUUGUAAUAUACAGUACGCAUUUUCUACUUCUCCUGCAACCCUCCGUUGGAUAUACAGCCAUGCGCUUACUUUUCAGUCAGAAGUAAAUGAAUAAAUACAUAAAUACGUACGUAAGUAAAUAAGCAGAGGAGGCGUGUUUCUGGCCCCGUCCGCGGCUGAAUGUGGUCGGGACGCUGGCAUCUCGUUUCGUGGAGAGGAAUGAACGGGCAACAAUGUUGGAAUAACGUUGGGAUAACGCUGGAAUAACACACUACCCUAUUGACCUGCUUCUGGCUUUCCCCCCCCCCAAUAACGCUCCCCCCACCCCCACCUAUAACCCUGACAACGCACUGAAGAGAACACUGGCAUAACGUUGAAAUAAUGUUGUAAUAACGCUAGGAUAACGCAGCAUCCUCUCCUGCCCCCCCCCCAUGUCAGUACCGCUGUGCAGCGGAAAGGCCACGUGUUAUUUUUACAAACGUCCAAUUUCAGGCUCGUCUCAAAUGAGAUGCAAACGGACGCCGUGCUGACUCAGCCGCACGGACAAGGGCAGUGGGGGGGACAAACGGAGCGCGUUCUCACCCAUCCCAGGACGGCCUGAGUGUUUGCACCCCCCCGUGUCCGCCGACGCUGGGCCGACGCUGGCCCGACGCUGGGCCUCCUGUGUGUUAUUAAAAAUGCAGUGUGUGUCACUUAUUUAUAUCGGCUUUGUGAAACGAUGCUGUCCUUGGCAACAGGUGACUCAGGACGCCUGAAUCAUAUUUUAAGAAUAAAAGAAUGAGUCUCGAUUUUGGGUUCUUUUUAAAAAAAAAAAAAAUUCUCUGCAUUUGUUGGACAGUAAGUAGGGCCAGAUGAAGACACAAGAGUGUAAAAUACUGCCCCCCCAGCCUCGAGGAGCUGAUUUACAGAUAAACACAGUGAUUGUAUUUUUUUUUUGCACAAGGACAUUCGGGGGUUUGUGGUCCAAAGCAAAAUAAAUACACUCCAAGGGACUCCAAAGCAGCUCGCCCAGAGAUGUUAUUACCCAGUUACUUAAAAAUUUUCUCUUUGAAACCAUUUCCAUGAGUAACUUAAUACUGGCACAAUAUAAAAACUGAUACUUUAUGUUUGCAUUUUGCGAAGUAGUGCUGCCAUAAUGCAAAAUGUUGCUUUGGAGUUACUUGAAAUGUAUUUUCUUGCUUCAGACUAUGAAGACUCCUCGAUACUCCUAUAAAACUGUAAAACUAAAAAACACAUGCGUCACUCCUUUCCCCUUAAACUAUGCUUAACGCUGCUGUUAAAAAAAAAUAGAUAUUCCCUCAAUAAAAACGAGAAAAAAUAAAUAUCCCAAAACAGAAUCACAGGCAUUCUGUUCCAGUGAUUAAAAACUAAAUUAUCGUUU